UGCCAGCAGCCGCGGUAAUACGUAGGGAGCGAGCGUUGUUCGGAUUUAUUGGGCGUAAAGAGCACGUAGGCGGGUAUGCAAGUCAGUUGUGAAAUCCUCUGGCUCAACCAGAGAAUUGCAGCUGAAACUGCAUACCUUGAGUCCAGCAGAGGAAAUCGGAAUCAAGGGUGUAGCGGUGAAAUGCGUAGAUAUCCUUGAGAACACCAGUGGCGAAGGCGGAUUUCUGGGCUGGUACUGACGCUGAGGUGCGAAAGCGUGGGGAGCAAACAGGAUUAGAUA
rnacentral:rRNA from 1 species